rnacentral:rRNA from 1 species
GACGAACGCUGGCGGCGUGCCUAAUACAUGCAAGUCGAGCGAGCGGAACUAACAGAUUUACCUCGGUAAUGACGUUAGGAAAGCGAGCGGCGGAUGGGUGAGUAACACGUGGGGAACCUGCCCCAUAGUCUGGGAUACCACUUGGAAACAGGUGCUAAUACCGGAUAAGAAAGCAGAUCGCAUGAUCAGCUUUUAAAAGGCGGCGUAAGCUGUCGCUAUGGGAUGGCCCCGCGGUGCAUUAGCUAGUUGGUAAGGUAAAGGCUUACCAAGGCGAUGAUGCAUAGCCGAGUUGAGAGACUGAUCGGCCACAUUGGGACUGAGACACGGCCCAAACUCCUACGGGAGGCAGCAGUAGGGAAUCUUCCACAAUGGACGCAAGUCUGAUGGAGCAACGCCGCGUGAGUGAAGAAGGUUUUCGGAUCGUAAAGCUCUGUUGUUGGUGAAGAAGGAUGGAGGUAGUAACUGGCCUUUAUUUGACGGUAAUCAACCAGAAAGUCACGGCUAACUACGUG